UUCGUUAAGUGAUAGCUCUAGAGCGUGUCUAAAGUCGUCUUUGGAUUUUUUGGAUGCUGUGGUUUUUACGGAUUAUUUAGAUAGCUUGCGUGAAACACUUUAUAUUGGUUGGCUAAGAGAAUUCUGUACCCAAUUACUUUAAAAAACUUGGAAUCGCUGCUAUUUUCUGUUGAUGAAAAACAGGGAAGUGGUUCUAAAAAUGACUUACAUACUGAGAAAAAGGUAAUCUUUUCUUCUUGCUUUAAAGGAGGUUUUUUAUGAUUUGGUUUUGUUCUUUUUUUCCCAGCUGCCACAUGCUUUCAAAAGCGAUUCGAAGUGAGAAUGAAUGAUUUUAAACAUGCUGUAGUACAAAUUCCCGUUCAAGGGAAGAAGCACAAUAUUCAAAUAACAGAGGAAGUGCAAAAACAAAUUCUUGCUGACAAAGAAUUUGCCAAAGUGUUUUUCGAACAAGCUAGAGAGAAGAUAUAAAAGAAGUCUGCCCCAUCGAGUGAAGAUAUUUGGUCCAACGACAUCUCAAGUUGCUUAGUCUUGUAAGAAGAAAUCAAUUAAACACAACAAUUCAAGUUAUUCCCUUUUUUUUAUAUUUUUGGGUGUAAGCAAAACCUGUUGGGGCCAGCAACUUUCACACGUGUUGAAUAAACUAAACUUGAAAAGAGAUGAGUAAAGGAAUUGGUCCAUCAAUAAUUCAAGUUGCUCAGAAACCUUGUUUAAUUGAAAUUGGCAAAGGCCAAAAGCUUGCAUAUGCACCAAGAAAUUUACCAUCUCAUGGAACAUCUCAUUUAGGAUGGAGUAAAGAAAUGGAACCAUCGUCAUCUCAAGUUUCUCGACAAUGUGGUGCGAUUGGAAUCGAAAUGGACCAACCUAAUUUACGAGCGUCGACUACUUUAACUGUUGCUGGUAGAGGGUAGAGUAAAGGCAGGAAUUUUUCCGUCUGUGCCGUACAAGAUGCUUGUGGCACGAACCAGCAUGCUCGUGGAGGACAAAAUUCAAGAAUUCUACCAAAUCGUGGUAGCCGUGGCACAUGUAGUCAGUUAACUCGUGGAAGGCGAGGUGGAUGUGGAGCCAUAAACAAAGAAACCCGUGGUGGACGAGUCACAACCCGUUGUGGACGAGGCACAACCAGUGGUGGACGAGGCACAACCUCGUGGUGGAAGAAAAACAAUCUGUUCUGUGGUCCAAACCCACCCAAACGAUUUCAGCCAGUCAAGUAAAUUAUGCAGCGAGAAUGGAAAACAAACUUUUUAUCUUGGACAACGAUGAUGAUUACGAAGACUUGUUAUUUCGUGUCCUUGACAACUUCGAUGGAGCUGAAACUGAUUACCCAAAUGCUAACCCACAUGAGGUCGAACAAGAGGUCGGAGGUGGCAGGGACAAUGAUGAAGAUAAUGGUGAUAAUGAUGAUUUGGAGGAGUCAGAAGAAUAGGAUUUCCGUUUCAAUGUUGAGAAAUCUAAACUUCUACUGGACGCAUAUAAAAAGUUUCAAGAAAAAUGAUGUCAGGCAGGCAGAAAAAAAGACGAUCUGGACAAAGAUCACCAGUUACAUGGAAAGUAAGGGACACGCUGGAUUGACUGGUAACAUUUGCGAAAUAAAAUUUAAAAACAUGAAAGCACAGUAAAAGAACAUUAAGAAAAGAAAUGGCAAAAAAAGAAGAGGAGGACCUCCAUCGUGGCCUUACUAUGAUACUAUGGAUGAACUUCUGCGCCACGACGUGGCCGU